AGGAAAAGUUUAUUUUAUUUUUCUUUUCCUAAUUCUUUUUCUUUUUCUUAUUUUUAUUUUUCGUUUUUCCCGUGUCCUCACCCAAAUCUCGCCGAGUCCUCUUCUUCCCCGCGCCUUCUCCCCCUCACGGCGAAUUUGCCCUAACCGCAACCGCAAGGAGGCGGUUUCCUCACUUCCUUGCCGUGCCCUAGCCGUGCGCCGCCGACGCCUCCUUCUCACUGCCUCUCCUCCGACAGUCGUUCGUCCCCUCGGCACUUCUUUUUCUCUUCUUCUCCACAGCAGCGACGUCGACUCCACAGCAUAAGCCCCGGCGUCGCGUGAGCCACUGCCGACCCACUCUUCUCCGAGCCGAUCCAUCUUCGCCAGCCGACGAGAGCCAAGGGAAGCCGGUUGCUUCUUCUCCGACGCGACAUUGCUACUGCCCGACACUGCCGGCCCUCCUUUAUGCCCUAGCCUCAGCCGCGACACCCGACUUCAGCGACGCCACUGCCUGGCCUCUGCCGCCGUCGAACGGAGAGUGUCGGUCACCCUUUCCUCUGCCCUCGAGCCCGAGCACUGCCGACGCAGAAGUUCAUCUGUGCCCUAGUACAUCUGCCGGCCAAUUUCUCCUUUGUUCUAGUAUCGGCGAUUGUACCUCCUUCCCUCUCUUGGCGGACGACUAGAGUCGUCGUAAAACAGGAGCUUAAGAAGGAGGCUGAGGGAAACAGUAGUCCGGCAAUGGGAUUGAAGCUUCGGACAUAACUUCCAGCAGCAAGAUCUGUGGUUGUGAGUUGGCAGGAAGAUACUUAGAGUGAGUGAAGAAUUUCAGCAGCCAACAACCCUUGACGGCAGUAACUUCAGCCAACAACUCUUUGAUUCCAGUACAAACCCAUGGCUGUGAAUUUAGGACUUUGACGCGAGACGAGUAUCUCGGAGUCAGAUUGGACCUUUCUAUUUUCGGAGGC